AGGCACGUAGCUCAGGGGGAGAGCGCUACCCUGACACGGUAGAAGUCGCUGGUUCAAAUCCAGUCGUGCCUACCA
rnacentral:tRNA from 1 species